GCAUUGUUGAGGCCACUAAUAUGGAGUUUCUUCAACCUCUUAGCAAUCUUCUGCACUCUGAAACCUGUUUGACGGGUCUGCUGAAGCUGGGACUCAACAUCAUGUUUUAUGUCACUGACAGUCUGCUUAAGCUGCUUGGCUGGAUUUGGUGGUUUUCCAAGAUCUUUAGAAUUGACAGCCCCUGCUCCCUUCAAAAUGGACACAAUUUCCGGAAUGUCAAGUUUUUCUGCAAUGUCGAGUGGGGUCUCUCCAGCCUUGUUAGUUGCAUU
rnacentral:misc_RNA from 1 species